ACCAAGUCCGUCGUUCCCCAUGGCCUUUUCCACCGGAUCUCUUUUCAGUUCGCCGCUGAGCAAAGGUUGGAGCGUGCAAGGGGUACCCCCGGCGUUCCAGGUGUUGGGCAUAGCGCUUUCAUCAAGUCGUAAGCGUCGACACUCGCUUCAGUGAUCCUGCUGUUCACCGGUCCCAUUGUUUACCACUUUGAUUCGGCCAAUGAUUUCAUACUCAAAUCGCAAAACACUUUUAAUCGGUUUGAAUCCGUUGGACAAAAAAAAUUUCAUUUCAAAAGCGAUUGUCAGGAGAAAUGUUUCCGACUGUGGGAAUUUGUGGUUUUACAGCUGAACAAAAUCCCCUACAAAGGAGCUGAUCCCCCUUUCGCUUUUGCUGAGAAUCAACGCAGCCAAUUACACGCAUUGGAGUCAUCAGGAUAUAUUUUUAAAAUGUUGUUUCUUACAACUUGCCUGUUCCUUCAACUUACGUGCACUCCACUCCUUUGUCGCUGGGCUACUACCGCUGGAUGGACAGUUUAAGGAUCGAUAUAAUCACAUUUGCGCGACAUAGACGAAAUGAUUUAUCUCAUUUCCCCUUUUGUUUUUAGACAUUACAUCAUCUUCAAGGGUGUUUUUCGCCAAAUCGGAAUGCUGGAAGUCUCGCUGACUUGCCUCCAGCGCUUCGCCUCCGUCAUGAAACUGAAAUUGGACGUCAGCAACGAAAAGGAAUUGAGUUAUUUUUUUGUCGUUUUGGUCAUGAUGCCUGGGGUUCCUCUUCUUGAUGGGCAACACCAACAACAA